rnacentral:rRNA from 1 species
GACAGAGGGGGCAAGCGUUGCUCGGAAUCACUGGGCGUAAAGGGCGCGUAGGCGGGAUGGCAAGUCGGUCGUGAAAGCCUUCGGCUCAACCGAAGAACGUCGGCCGAUACUGCCGUUCUUGAGGGAUGCAGAGGAGACUGGAAUUCCCGGUGUAGCGGUGAAAUGUGUAGAGAUCGGGAGGAACAUCAGUGGCGAAGGCGGCCAUCUGGGACAACACUGACGCUGAAGCACGAAAGCGUGGGGAGCAAACAGG